rnacentral:rRNA from 1 species
UACGGAGGGGGCGAGCGUUAUUCGGAAUUAUUGGGCGUAAAGGGCGCGUAGGCGGCCUGAUAAGUCAAAGGUGAAAUCCCUCGGCUCAACUGAGGAAUUGCCUUUGAAACUGUCAGGCUUGAGGCCGGGAGGGGGUGGCGGAAUUCCUAGUGUAGAGGUGAAAUUCGUAGAUAUUAGGAAGAACACCGGUGGCGAAGGCGGCCAUCUGGCUCGGUACUGACACUCAUGCGCGAAAGCGUGGGGAGCAAACAGG